UUACGUAUACUGAAGGUAUACCGGAAAGAAUGAGACACUCAGGAUACAUUCAGUAUACGUACA
rnacentral:pre_miRNA from 1 species